CUCCCUGCCAUGUGGCAGUGUGCUCAGGCUGAAGGGAGAGUGCAUGGCUCUCUCCUCCUGUCCCCUCAACUGUAGGAAGCACCCCGGUCCGUCUGGCCCCAGCCUCUCGACCUCCAGUCGUCACUCCAUCCUUUGGUCUUUUGAGCCUUCCAAAAGAUGGCUCCCACAGCUCACAGCCCUUCUCCAGCAUUCUUUUUAAAGCACAGUUAAUUUUGCUCUGCAAAUGUGUGAGCCCUUGGGGUUAAUUAGAGGAAAUGUGGAAUGUGAGAGGGAGAGCAAGAAAAUUCUGAGCCUGUCAGGACUCCUGCCUUUGCACUCUGGCACAGAAUCACAAAACCGGGUAGUCUAGUCCCACCCCGUCCUCUCACAGCUGGAGAAACUGGGGCUCGUGGGGAGGUGCUGACCCACGUUCGGAGACCGGACCAGGCAAAUCCCAGGUGGCCUCGCUUCCGAGCUCUUCCCCGACACACACUCCUGUCCGCGUUUGCCAUGGCUUGUUUUCUGCGGUACUUUCUGUCUCACUGCAGGAUCACCCAGCAGUGGCCGAAGAACGCGGAGGCUCACACUGGAGUCGGCCUGGCCAGGUUCACGUCAUGGAUACAGGAAUGAAUCAAGGUCACCCCCUGGAGGCGAAGUUGUUGCCUGCAUGAACGGGAGUGGAUGGAUUUGUUCUCAGGUCCUGGCUACUCACCUGAGAGCAGUAAAUACACAGUCCUUGUCUCCAGGAGGCUCAAUCCGGUGGAAAAGCGAGGCUGAAGAUACUCACACUUCCUAAGGGGUGGACACAGGCACAUACGGCAGACUACAGGCUCCUCGAUCCAGUACCCAGGCCUGGCUUGGUGACUGACAUUAGAUGAAACAAUAAAAGGAAGACCUACUGCCA
rnacentral:lncRNA from 1 species